UCUCCCCCCUAUAGACGGCCUCCCCAUAACCCUCCACCUCCUCGCACCUUUGUUAGCCACCAUGAGACCCCCCUCCGCACCUCUGUCCUUAACCUCCUCAGCCCUUUAUCGCUCACACUGCUACAACUCACACAAAAACCUAUAUGCUCGAGAAAAAUCCCAAUUGAAAUCUAAGAAAUCCCUCUAAUCUCCAUGCUCUCUUUCCUUGCUCUUCUCUGCUUCGUCACUCUACCACCCUC
rnacentral:lncRNA from 1 species